GCGGAAGGAUCAUUAUUGAAUAAGCUUGGUUGGGCUGUUGCUGGCUCCUCGGGGCAUGUGCACGCCUAACRCCAACUUUCUUACCACCUGUGCACUUUUUGUAGGCUUUGGAAAUACCUCUCGAGGAAACUCAGUCUGAGGACUGCUAUGCGCAAGCUGGCUUUCCUUUCACUUUCCAGUCUAUGUUAUCAUAUUUACACCUAUAGUAUGUUUCAGAAUGUCAUUCUAAUGUGCUUAAUUGCACUUUAAUCCUUAUACAACUUUCAACAACGGAUCUCUUGGCUCUCGCAUCGAUGAAGAACGCAGCGAAAUGCGAUAAGUAAUGUGAAUUGCAGAAUUCAGUGAAUCAUCGAAUCUUUGAACGCACCUUGCGCUCCUUGGUAUUCCGAGGAGCAUGCCUGUUUGAGUGUCAUGAAAUUAUCAACCAUUUCAACUUUAUCGGUUGAAUUAGGCUUGGAUGUGGGAGUCUUUGCUGGCUUCGCAAGAGGUUGGCUCUCCUUAAAUUCAUUAGCAGGACCUUUGUUGCUCCCCAGCAUUAAUGUGAUAAUUAUCUACGUUAUUGCUGAAAAGUAACUUUAAUUGGGUUUCCAGCUUCUAAUUGUCUUUGUAGACACAUAAUGUAUAUGUCAAUUUGACCUCAAA
rnacentral:rRNA from 1 species